rnacentral:rRNA from 1 species
GCUCAGGAUGAACGCUGGCGGCGCGCCUAACACAUGCAAGUCGAACGAGCGAGAGAGAGUUUACUUUUUCAAGCGAGUGGCGAACGGGUGAGUAACGCGUGAGGAACCUGCCUCAAAGAGGGGGACAACAGUUGGAAACGACUGCUAAUACCGCAUAAGCCCACGACCCGGCAUCGGGUAGAGGGAAAAGGAGCAAUCCGCUUUGAGAUGGCCUCGCGUCCGAUUAGCUAGUUGGUGAGGUAACGGCCCACCAAGGCGACGAUCGGUAGCCGGACUGAGAGGUUGAACGGCCACAUUGGGACUGAGACACGGCCCAGACUCCUACGGGAGGCAGCAGUA